rnacentral:tRNA from 1 species
UCCCUCAUAGCUUGGUCGGUAAAGAAUCUGCCUGCAACGCAGGAGACCCAGGUUUGAUUCCUGUGUCAGGAA